GGGGGAAAAAUUAAUAAAGUUAUAAAUAAUAAAAUAAUUUUUAAUAAAAAUAUUUAAUGGGGGUUAAAGUAUUUUUAUAGAAAAAAUUAAAAAAUUUAUAGUAAAUUAGUAUUGUAAAAGAAGUUUGAAAUAAUAUUGAAAAUAAAUUUAUUAAAAAGUAAAUUUAUUUUAUUGUAUCUUGUGUAUCAGAGUUUAUUAAUAAAAAUUUUUAAAUAAAAAAUUCUCGAAUUUAAAAGAGUUAAUUAAUUAUAAAAGUUAAUGUUACAUAAUUAUUUUUAAUAAUUAAUUUGAAAUGAAAUGUUAAUCGUUUUUAAAUAUAUCUAGUUUUUUUAGAAAAAAAUUAAAUUUUAAAUAUUAAAUUAUAAAAUUUUUAUUAUUUAAUUUUUUAUAAUUUAAUAUUAAAUAUUUUAAGGGAUAAGCUUUAAAAUAAAUUUUUAUAAUAAUUUAUUAUUAAAAUUGAAAUUUUUAAAAUUUAUAUUGUUUAUAAAUUAUAAUUUUUUACAAAUAAUUUCAAUUAAAAAUUAAAAUUUAAAAUUAAUUGUUUAAAUUUAUAUAAAAAAAUAAUUUUUAAUUUUAAUAAAUUAAUUAUAAUGAUAAAAUUAGUAUAUAAUAUUUUUAUUUAUUAAUAAUAUAAUAUUUGAAAAAAUUUAUUAAAAGGAAUUCGGCAAAAUUUUAUAUUCACUUGUUUAUCAAAAACAUGUCCUUUUGUUAAUAAUUUAAGGUCUAUUCUGCCCACUGAUUAAAUAAUUGAAGGGCUGCAGUAUUUUGACUGUACAAAGGUAGCAUAAUCAUUAGUCUCUUAAUUGGUGACUUGUAUGAAGGAUUUGAUGAAAUAUAAACUGUCUCUUAAUAAAUUAUAAAAUUUAAUUUUUUAGUUAAAAAGCUAAAAUAUUUUUAAAAGACGAGAAGACCCUAUAGAGUUUUAUAAUUAAUAAAAUUUUUAUUUUUUAUAAAAUUUUUAAUUUUAAUUUUAUUAAUUAUUUUAUUGGGGUGAUAGAAAAAUUUAAUAAACUUUUUUUAAAGAAAAAAUUAACAUUUAUAUAUGAUUAUAUGAUCCAUUUUUAAUGAUUAAAAGAAAAAAUUACCUUAGGGAUAACAGCGUAAUUUUUUUUUUUAGUUCAAAUAAAAAAAAAAGUUUGCGACCUCGAUGUUGGAUUAAGAUAAAAUUUAAAUGCAAAAGUUUAAAAUUUUUGAUCUGUUCGAUCAUUAAAAUCUUACAUGAUCUGAGUUCAAACCGGUGUGAGCCAGGUUGGUUUCUAUCUUUAGAAAAAUAAAAUAUUUUAGUACGAAAGGAUCAAAUAUUUAAAAUAAUUUUAAUUUAAUGAAUUUUAUUAAUUAAUUAUUAAAUGCUAUUUUGACAGAUAAAU
rnacentral:rRNA from 1 species